rnacentral:rRNA from 1 species
UGCGUAGGCGGACCGGCAAGCGUCUUGUGAAAUCCCUCGGCUCAACCGGGGAAUUGCUGGGCGAACUGCUGGUCUUGAGGGAGCUAGAGGCUGUCGGAACGUUCGGUGGAGCGGUGAAAUGCGUAGAUAUCGUGAGGAACACUCGUGGCAAAAGCGAGCUACUGGACAACUCCUGACGCUGAGGCUCGAAGGCCAGGGUAGCGAAAG